rnacentral:rRNA from 1 species
UGGGGAAUUUUGCACAAUGGGGGAAACCCUGAUGCAGCGACGCCGCGUGAUUUAGAAAGCCUUCGGGUUGUAAAAAUCUUUUCUAUGGGAAGAAAAUGACAGUACCAUAGGAAUAAGGACCGGCUAAUUACGUGCCAGCAGCCGCGGUAAUACGUAAGGUCCGAGCGUUGUCCGGAAUCAUUGGGCGUAAAGGGUACGUAGGCGGGUAAGCAAGUUAGAAGUGAAAUCCUAUAGCUCAACUAUAGUAAGUUUUUAAAACUGCUCAUCUUGAGGUAUGGAAGGGAAAGUGGAAUUCCUAGUGUAGCGGUGAAAUGCGCAGAUAUUAGGAGGAAUACCGGUGGCGAAGGCGAGUUUCUGGCCAUAACCUGACGCUGAGGUACGAAAGCGUGGGUAGCAAACAGG